GUAAACCUCAGCCCCGCUUCCUUGGCUACAGCAGAUUGAACUGAGAAUUGACGCCUGACCCAAAGGCAACCAUUCAUGGAAUAUCCAAGUAGCCAAUGAAAUGGGCUGAUGCAAGAGCUCCGCCCCCGGUGGUCAGUUUCCUAGACGUGACCGGCCAGUGGAACAGAACCUCUUUCACGCAAUUAGAAUUUGGGACGUAUUGGGUGUGGGAGAGGGGGAAGUAAUGAAACGGUAGGGUGGAAAUGGGCAGACACCCUGAGAACCGUCAGAAAGCCCUGUCCACGUGGCGCUGGGAGCCAUGACAAAACAGGAACAACGGCGUGGAGGAAAAGAAGUGCAGAGAGGGUUUGGCAGCGUGAGCAGAGAAAAGCAGAGGCAGAGCGCAGCUGAGUCACUAUACUGGCAGAGCAUUAGAGAGGGAGCAACAGAUGCCUACUGCUGAAGCAAUGUCAAGAAAAACAGGUGGCUGGAGGUAUACUGUGUCCUGAACGACAUUCCCAGCUCCGCCAGGCAGCUGUUAAAACUGCUUCCUGCUCUUCCCCACUUCCUCCGGUAUCCUUGCAAUGAACCACGUUAACCCGAGUCACCAGAGCACAUCUCUCUUCCUGGCAACCUGAAAAAGCCUGAUCAACGCCAUGUAAUAUUCAUAUCUCUACUAUGGCACGUAUCAGGUGGCGUUAUGAUGAUUUGUUUUUAUGAUUCUCCCUGACUACACUCCUUAAGGUCAAGAACUGUGUUCAGUGCCUUCUUAAAACAUCCUCAGCAACCGGAUAGUAUACCAGCACAUAGGAGGUGCUGGCGAAUCGUUGGAUGAAUGACUGGAGAAAAGUGUGAGUGUGCAUGUGGCCAAAAGAGCCACGGGAAGUUCAGUUAGCAUUCCUCUAAAGGAGUUUAUCCUCACAAACAUUUUAUGGGGAAGAUAAAGCAGGCGUCGUUAAUGUCCUGGUGGGGAAGAGAAAGCUCAAAAUGACACAGUACCUUUCCUGGGAGCACAUAUUUCGAGACGAUCAACGUGAACUAAACUUAUUGUGGCUAUCAUUUCAUAUGUCAAUCAAAUCAUUACGCCAUACACCUUGACCUUACACAGUGCUGUAUGUCUAUUCUAUACCAAUAAAACUGAAAAAAAA